GAUGAACGCUAGCUACAGGCUUAACACAUGCAAGUCGAGGGGUAACAAGAGAAAAGCUUGCUUUUCUUGUUGACGACCGGCGCACGGGUGAGUAACGCGUAUCCAACCUGCCUAUAACUAGGGAAUAACCUUGCGAAAGUAAGACUAAUACCCUAUGAUUUCCUUUGAUGACAUCAGAUUAGGAAUAAAGAUUUAUCGGUUAUAGAUGGGGAUGCGUCUGAUUAGCUUGUUGGCGGGGUAACGGCCCACCAAGGCAACGAUCAGUAGGGGUUCUCAAAGGAAGGUCCCCCGCAUUGGAACUGAGACACGGUCCAAACUCCGACGGGAGGCAGCAGUGGGGAAUAUUGGUCAAUGGGCGAAAGCCUGAACCAGCCAAGUAGCGUGCAGGAUGACGGCCCUAUGGGUUGUAAACUGCUUUUAUACAGGAAUAAAGUUAGCCACGUGUGGUUAUUUGUAGGUACUGUAUGAAUAAGGACCGGCUAAUUCCGUACCAGCCGCCGCCGCAG
rnacentral:rRNA from 1 species